UACAGAGGUCCCAAGCGUUGUUCGGAUUCACUGGGCGUAAAGGGUGCGUAGGUGGUCGGGUAAGUCUGAUGUGAAAUCUCCGAGCUCAACUCGGAAAUGGCAUUGGAAACUACCUGGCUGGAGGGUUGGAGGGGGGACUGGAGUUCUCGGUGUAGCAGUGAAAUGCGUAGAUAUCGAGAGGAACACCAGUGGCGAAGGCGAGUCCCUGGACAACUCCUGACACUGAGGCACGAAAGCUAGGGGAGCAAACAGG
rnacentral:rRNA from 1 species